GCCAUUGACCACUUCUAGGCACUAAACAACGCUCACUGUGGCAGCAUCUCGCCUCCCUAAGUCAGAAGCAUCGACAUCGCUUUCCUAAACCGCCCGCCCGCACGUCAUAUCACUUCAGAAGCGGUUGGACGACCAGGAGCCGUCCCUAGCCACUGGCUAUUUGACAGCGUGUCAAAAGGUCACACAGACCAACUGGUCACAACAGGGACUGGAUCUACUUCAGGUGGCCAAAAAGGACCAUAUUCAUAAAAAUAUACGUUGUGGGAUGAUAAUUCCAAGCUACUAACAAGUUAGAAGAACGUAAAGACGAUGGAUUUUCAACGAAGCACGUUUCCAUGUUGCUUCAUCAGUCACAUUUACGGCAGAGGACUGGAUAAAUUGGUGUACUGGAUCUACGCUUGGAGCAACACAUCAGGACGACGUCUGUCACAGAGGGAACGGCGCAGUGAUAGUGAGACGUUUGAUGUGUGUGCGGCAAAGACAUAAGAAAGCUGUUGCAGCACAAGAACGUCGGAGUCAACAUGCAGUACAUGACGCUGGUGACAGGGGCCGCUGUUCCCGUCCAGGCUGGUGACCGACUAAUUAUGGAAAUCGAGAGCGCACGUGACUGUACCAUGUACUUCCUAAGGUCAGAUCUUGGUAAGAAAGCGAAGCAUUGUACAGUCGACCCGUACAAGUGGCCACUAUGGGUGGAUACCGGUACAUGUCCAG